CACCAUCAGAAAUAAGCUGACCAUAUUUUUGUGAUCUCUCCAUACAGCUUAAGACGUGGACAACUUACAAUGACAAAAUUAAUCUACCAACCACUACGCCUUUGGACUGUGGGAGGGCACCGGAGCACCCAAAGACAAUCCACGCGGUCACAGGGAGAAUGUGAAAAACUUCUUACGGGCAGCGGCGGGAAAAUACUACCAUCAUCAUUGUUGGAGAGGAGAGUGGACCUUUGGAGGAGGAGACAGAUGCACAUAACUAUGAAUGCUGAGAACCUGAAGUGAAAACAGAAUACAAGAAAAUUCUCAAUCGAUCCAGAAGCAUGAAAAGUAAAUUGCUCAGACCGGCCCUUCAAAGCCAUGUGACCAUAAGCCAUGGGGACAGAAUUAGGCCAUUUGGCCCAUUGAGUCACCUCCGCCAUUCAAGCCCGGCUGAUUUAGUUUCCCUUUCAAACCCAUUUUCCUGCUUCCCCCCCCCCAUAACCUUUGACACCCUGACUAAUUGUGAGGGUGUGGAAUGAGCUGCCAGCACAAAUAGUGCAUGUGAGCUCAAUUUCAAUGUUUAAGAGAAGUCUGGAAUAGGUACAUGGAUGGUAGGGUUAUGGAGGGCUAUGGUCCUGGUGCAGGUUGAUGGGGGUAGGCAGUUUAAAUGGUUUCACGUGGACUAGAUGGCCCAAAGUGUCUGUUUCUGUGCUGUACUUUUCUAUGACCCUUAAAAAGUAAAUGGAUUACUGAUUUCUCUACAAUGCAGCACUCAGACUGAUCUCAAGAUAAGAUAAUGACCUGAAGAGAUAAUGUGAUUUUAAUAUAUACAUUUAGAGGCCACUUUAUUAGGCGCCUCCAAUACCUAAUAAAGUGGUCACAGUGUUUUUUGUGGUCUUCCACUGUUGAGGCCCAUCCAGCUCGAGGUUCAGUGUGUUGUGUGCUCCGAAAUGUUCUCCUGUACAGCACAGUUGUAACGUGUGGUUAUUUAAGUUACUCGCACCUCGAGCUUGAACCAGUCUGGCCAUUCUCCUCCGACCUCUCAUAUUAACAAGGCCUUUCUCCCACUGAAUUGCCACUCACUAGCUGAUUUUUUUUUGUUUCUCGCACCAUUCUCUGUAAACGCUUGGGGAUUGUUGUGGAUGAAAAUACGUACCAUGGCAGUAUAGCGUUUAGCGCGGUGCUGUUACAGCUCAGGGCAUCAGCAUUCAGAGUUCAAUUCUAGCAUCUCCUGUAAGGAGUCUCCCUGUUGAACCUGUGGGUUUUCCCAGUGCACCAAGUUUCUUCCUACAGUCCAAAGAUGUAAUGGCUAGAGUUGGACAUUGAAAAUUGUCCCUUGAUUAGGACAGGGUUGAAAUCGGGUUUGUUGGCUGUUGCUGAGGAGGUGCUGCCCAUAGGGCUGGAAGGGCCAACACACGCAUCUCUAAAUAAAUAGAAUGCCAGGAGACCAGAUACUCAAACCACCUUAUCUGGCACCAACAAUCAUUCCACAGUCAAAGUCACCUAGAUCAAAUUUCUUUCCCAUUCUGAUGUCUGGUCUAAACUACAACUAAACCUCUUGACCACGUAUGCAUGCAUUUAUGCUUUGAGUUGCUGUCACAUGAUUGGCCAAGUCAGAUAUUUACUUUAACAAGCAGGUGCACCUAAUGAAAAUGGCCACUGACAUUUAACAUGCGCUUAGACAAAAAAAAAUUAUCUUGCUCUGACUUAAAGGCAUCCAGAAAAUAGGGGAAAGACUCAGAUCCUAUGUGAUGCUAAAGCCUUGUGUUAUGUAAUUACCUUGUGGGCAACCCAGAACAAGAUGGCACAUAAAACCACUGAGGAAAACCUCGGCAGGCAGUAAAGCUACUCCCCCAUAUCACAGUUGUUGUUUAUUCAGAUGUUAUAAUGACAAUUUAAAAAUCUUAAAUCAUAAAAAAUAUUAACCAUUUUAAACUAAAAAUACUUUUAUCCAUUUAAAAAUCAUAGCAUCUUAUUCUCACCUUUGUUCCAUUCUCCAUUCAAAUAAAUGAGCUCUUGGAUUUCAUGCCAGGAUCCACAAGCAGAUCCCUCACCUUAAAUCCCAGAGAAUCCCAGCAAAUUAGGUCGAAUACAGGUUCACUAAGAAGUACCACUAUAGAAAAUUCCAAAUUUCUAUACUUAGAUCUGCAGGCACCUAAAAUUGCUAGCAUUUAUUUGGGUAAUAAGACCAUGAGCUACAGGAGCACAAUUAGGCCAUUUGGCCCAUUGAGCCUGCUCUACCAUUUCAUCAUGAGUGAUCAUUUCCCUCUCAGCCCGUUUCCUGCCUUCUCCCCGUAUCCCUUCAAGCCCUGACUAAUCAAGAAUCUAUCAGUCACAGCCUUAAAUAUACCCAUUGACUUGGCCUCAACAGGGAACUGCACAGAUUCACCACUCUCUGGCUAAAAAGAUUCCUCCUCACCUCCGUUGUAAAAGGACACCUGUGCAUUCUAAAUGAUAGCAGUUCACUCAGAAAGUGUCUGUAAACCCCAGCAAAGUCCAGAACAGUGUUACAUGUGAAUGACCCUUCAAAAUAUGCAAAAUUAUUGAUCAUAAAAAUAACUUUUUUCCUUCACAGGG